CUUUUUUCUUAGUCCUAGAAACCAAAAAUAUGAUUUCACAUUGUUAAUGUCUAUAUGAUUUAGUUUUAGAUUGUCCUUCCAAUUUUAAUCAAUAAAAGUGGGUGCCAAGAUUUGAUCUCUAAACCUUUUGAUCUCUAAACCUUUUGAUCCAGCAGGCUCAAAUCAUAUCAUGAAACCAUCCAACCUAAAAGUUCAAGCUUGUAAAUGCUUGUUCCUAAACUUUCUUUAAAUUUAGGACACUAGUAAGGCUAAAUCAUAUGUACAUUAGCACAGAUAAUACAGGAAUACAAUCAAUCUCCUAUUGAUAAUGAAUCUGUCGGUACUUUAAAUUUUAAU
rnacentral:misc_RNA from 1 species